AUCAGAUAAGCAUUAAACUAUGUUAGCAAUUAUAUUUUUGAAAAAUGUUAUUUUGUUAGUGAUGUAGGCCUAGAUAUAAAAUGGAUACAACACAAUAUGAGGAUUAAACUUUUAAUUAUUUUGUAAAAUACACAGAAAUUAAUACUGUUAUUCGCUGAUGUUUGCUGUGAUUGUAGAACUUGUCAGGAAAUUGAUAGACCGUCGCUAUAUCUACAUCUUCUUCGACUUGUACCUAUGCAUGAGUUGAAUUGUUUUGAAAACAGUGCAGAGUGGUACUGUAUGAUCUCGUCUAAAAUAACUGUAAGAAUUUUAUGGCUAAAUGAAGGAUUUAUAAGAAAUCUAUACAACUUAACAUUGUAAGAUAAUGAUACAUAUGGACAAUUUGUGUUAAAUUAUAGAGGCAUGGAAUAAUGAAUAAAUACUAAACGCAUUUAAAAUAGUUUUGACACCUGGUUUCACCCAAAAGGCUAUGAUUCAAUGCAAACAAGAGACGCACCACAAUAUAUAAGGAAGCCCGAAGACCAGCAACGGCAAAUGUACCAUAGUUAUCAACAUCUGAGCACUUUCACGACACUCAGCCACUUAUUAUACUAGUUACAUGUACUUUAUUUAUAAGUAAUAAAAACAUUAUUCAUUAUUAAGUUGUAAACUUUCAUUCUAAAUAACAUUUGGAUUCAACUCUAAUAUUGGCACGCAACACAUAGCUAGAUGAAGAUUCGUUAUUUAAGAGACUUCAUUCUAAAUAAGAAACAACUGAUGUUUGUAUAAUCAGUCUCCCGGAUUAAUUUACUACCAACAUUGUGUCAGAUGCAGAAAAUGAAAGUUGUAAAAAUCAGUCUUUUGAAAUGGAUCCAGGAUGGACAUCAGAAUGAUACUUAAAGAUUGUACAUCAAAGCUGCUAUUCUUCGCAGUUACAAUGUUUUCAACAAAAUGUUACUCUAUUAAAAGUUUUAAAAAACAUUUAGUGUUAUUUUAAAAUAUACUGAUAAACCAUGUCUUAGACAAUAACGAUAACUGAGUCAGUCAGUUGCCUUAUUGCACAGUUUUAGUUGAUGUAAGCUCAGUAGGGACCUAACUUGCCAUAGAAGCAUUGUUCAGUCAAUAUAUUUUUAUAAAUUCUUAAAAACAAUCAUAUAGUAUAACAACACCUACAUAAUUAAAUAAUGUGACAACUAUGAUGGUUUUUGAUACACAUUACAUAUGUAGUAAAACAUCUUAAGUAAUAAAUGUUCCAUUAUUAUUAUUUUUUAAUUAAAAUGUAAUUCUAUGUUUGGUUAUGAAUAUCUGGUCUUUAUUUUUAUUGUUAAAAAACCACGGUUAAGUAUUCUGGCCUAAGUAUGUUCCAAUUUCUUAAAGACGAAUAAUAUCUGAAAUUUGGUUAUUGUACUUACUAAUUACUUUUUAUUAUUUAUUUUAAACUCAUUUAAAAAUAAUAAAUUUCUAAUUUGAAUAAUUAUUACAACUAUGUCAGUUUACUAUUACUUUAUAUGUUUUGAAAAGUUAUACAGUAGAUAGAUUGAUAGAUUUAACAAUAGCAUUUUAACUCAAAUGAUCAAAUUUUUAUUUCAAUAUUUUAACAUUUGUAUUAUUGUAUUAAGGUAUAUUAUUUAUAUUAAUUUAUAUUUACUAUUUGUUUUUAAUCAUUAAUGUAUUAUUCAAAUUCCAUCUUGAUUACUAUUUUUUUUUAAUGUUUAUCAAUACUAUACUAAUAGUAAGCUAUUUAUGAUGUGGAUAUGCAGUACCCUUCUUAUUGUGAUUCCACUUCAAUCGAUUAAUAAUAAUUAUAAUAGAUUGUGGUUUUACAGAAAAUAUAAUUUUAUAUGACACUAAAAUACGUACUGACGAGUUAAAACAAUAUUUUAGUCAUCAAAAACUGCUAUAGUUUGGCAUAUCUAUAUAGUAUAAAAUCAAUGGUUAUAAUUUAUAAGUAUUAGUAAUCUAUUAGUCAUAUAUAUUAUUACUGCAGAAAUGCAAAAUUGGUAUUUUUGAUAAUCUAAAUUAUAAUUAUGACGAAGAAAGUGCAAAGAUAUCUUAUUGAGACACAAACAGCUGAAUUAACAUAGUUUUAUUAUUAGGUCAAUUUGUUAAAAUUUAUUAAAACUUUCUUAAAAAUUAAAGAAUUUAUUUAUUUGCAGAGAUUUAAACUCAAAAUAUGAACAUGGUCAAUUUUUUCAAUUCUUGAGUGAAAUUUUAUUAAUUGGAGAAGAUUAUAAAGAAUUGUUGGUGAAGAUCCAAAUAAGCUCGAAGAGAUCCAAUGAUGUACUCUACAAAAUCUUCAUUGUCAGGGAAGAUUUCAAUAAUAUCACAUGUCCUAGUAUGAUGCAUUCGACUUCAAGAAAUUGUUGGAAAAUAAAACAAUUCAUAACGAUCAUGGAAGCAUUGGAAGCAAUGCUUUAUUGGAAUCUAUCUAAUGCUAUUAUACUAUCAAUAUUUUUCAUGUUUUUAUACAAGAAAAAAAUGAUAUUCUACACAUCAUAUAUUGCUAUUUGAAUUGGUUUUAAUACAACAAAAUAUAGAAAAAAAAAUUAAAAGUAAAUAAAUUGUUUGAGCCAAUUGUAUAUAUUAUUAUUAACAUAUACAGUAGCUAUAAACAAAAUAGGGUUGCUUAUAUUUUUAUAAUUUUUAUAACUAAUACAAAAGUAUAAAUUUAUAAAUAAUGAAUUCAAAAUCAGAACAAUUUUUAAGGUGGCUGCAGUAUGGUAAAAUGAAACUCCAAUUAAUACUUAAUGUAAUGUUUUUUAAUAGAUAUGCUAUUGGGAGAAUAAAUAUAACGAACAAUGUGAAUUAAUUAAUGAAAUCAUUACUCAGUAUAAAUUGCUAAAAUUGAAUGAAAACAUAUCUAUAGCCAAAUUAAAAGAAAUGACAAAACAUAAGAAUGUGUUCUUGACAAACUAUAUUAUGCAGUUGCAAAGUAAUUAAAUAGGUUCUUUUUAAUGUAUAAUAUGUUUUUUUAAUGUUUAUAUCUAAUAAAAGUAGAAAAAUUAUAAUAUUUAGAUACAGAUAAUAAGACGUAUAGUAUUUAAAAAUUAAAAUUUACUUCUUUUAUUAAGACGUAUUUUGCCUACUAUUGUUUUAAUAAUGUAUUACUUUACUUACUAGAUAAAUAAUAAAUUAUAGAAUAAUUAUUUAUAAUUAUAAUUAGAUAUGAAAAAGUGUAUGUUAAGUAAAAUAUACAGGUAUUCAUUUUUAUUUUGUACGCUUCUAUACAUUAUUGACAUUUUACAUGAAUCGAGUAUAGCAGUAGCAUAGCCAGGAUUUCUACAAGGGGGAGGGGGGCAAAAUAAAAUUAAAUAUAUAACAUUCAAAUAACAGUAUUUUUAAUUUAUAAAAUAUGUGCAUUAAUGUUUGUCAUUAUUGCAUUGCCAUUUGAUGAGCUUAUAUCCUAUUGUUUAAACAACAUUCAAUUACCAAUAUUAAAAAAAUAAUAAUGACAAAUGUAUCAGUUUUAAAGUGAACACGUUUAUGUAUUUUCU